UUUGUUCAUAUUAGCAUAUCAAUAAAGCUAGUCUUCUCUUUUAUAACAUACCCAUGCUCAUCUAGAAGGAUAAGUGAUUUAUCUAAUGGAAGUUCUUCAUUGGCGUUUCUUAAGGAUAUGAAGUCUUUGAAUCUCUUAAUUCUGAGGAAUAACAAUAUUUCUGGAUCUAUCCCAUCCAAUAUUGGAGAUUAUCAAAGAUUGUUACAACUGUAAGUUAUUGCUAUUAAUUUCAGGUCAGCUCCCAUAUGCUUCAACCUGAAAUUUGGCCAGUUCAGAGCCAGAUGGCGGAAGAUGGGGUCAAAACCAGACAACCAACUCUAUGAAGCAAAUACUUUUAAUGUAUUUACGUUAUUAUAUAAUGAAUUUACUUGACCAUGGUUUGUAUAAUUUUUCAGGGAUUUUAGCUUCAACAAAUUAACUGGACAGAUUCCUGAUUCGCUGUUCAAUUUGAGCUCUCUUACUUGUAAUAAACAUCUUGUGCUGUAUUAUUUUAGAAUCUUUCCAACAAAUACUGUUUAUUGCUUGAACUAAUUUCUUCUUUAUAAAAGGUAUUUUUUUGGGUUAAAU